GAUUCUCUAGGUUCUUCCCCCAAGAAAAAGAUAAUAACUCCAAUGAUUGUCCUUUAGACUUUUCUCCUUAGGAGAAGGAGGAUAACACCUAUUCUUUCAAACUCUUCUCUCUAAGAGAAAAAUGAUUGUGUUGGAUAAGGAAAGUUAAAGGAUUAAGAACAUGACAACAAUUCCUAUUAGCACAAGCAUUUCAAUUUAGGAAAUAAAUAAAAAAAUUGAAUAAUCCCAUGAUAGAUAAUUUAUUUUAAGAAAGUUACCAAAAUUAUCUAAAGUCUCUUAUUUCAAAAUAUUAAGUAGAAAAAGGUCAAAGGCAAACCAAUAACCUCCAAAAUCAAGCCCAUUUUUAUUUUUGGAACAUCAUCUUCUUCAAGAUGGGUUGACCUAAGGAAUCAAGGGAUAUGAACUAACCUUUGUGGACAAAACUAUUUGUAUUUCUAGUGGGAAUAACCAAUGUUGAAUGUGGAACUCUUCACUUGGCAACAUAAAUGUCAAGGAUCUUGGUUACAAACUUAACAUAAAUGUGGAGCGUUAAAAUCACCUGAAAUGGUCUAACUUGCACAAUCUGAUGGCUAAAUUAUAAAGGUAUGUUAAUCAUUACCUUAGGAUAACCUUUUAAGGUUUAAGGCAGGUUGAUUAGUUAGAGAGGAUCCCUACCUAUUAAUAAGAAUCAUGACUUGCCUGAAGUAGGUUUGAUCUUUAUGAUGGUAGGAUGCCAUGCAUAGAUAUAUGUAGUUUGAGAGCACUACAUUUUUGCUAGGGUUUAUUACACUUUAUCUCCCCUCCUCCAACCUAUAGCGUGUUUUGCACAUUGUACCCUCAAGUUCAAAAUCGAGCAAUAUACCCUUCAUCAUUUCUAAUUGCAUAUAAUGUGAAUUUUUUUAGAGAUGACAUUAAUUUUUUGGACGAAAAGACAUGUGUGUUUCGCUUGAUUGAGGGAAAAAGUGUCUUUUUUGCUAUAAGUGAGAACAAAAGGGUCAUUAUAAUUUUAAAUCCCCACACUGCAGUUCUUUUCUCCCGCAUCAAUCAUUCAUUUGUCGUAUCUGGUAGCAAAACCCUAAACCAAAACCCUAAAAUCCCAAGGAAGCUAAUGUAGGGCUGACAUUGAAGAGAAGACAUGGAGUUCAACGAUAUUUCUUUGUCUUUCAAUUUCUUUUGGGUUAGGGUUUUGUUUGGAUCUUUCAGAAAUUUUGAGGAAAUUUUGGGAAAAUUAUGGGAAAGUAAAUGUGGACCCGCAUUUUUCACGUGCGCCCCCACUCGAUCGGCGAGACUCGCUUUUUAUUUGUGAAAAAUUGAUUUUUGAAAAAAAGUUGGAGUCGCCACGUAUUUUAUUUUUAUUUUGAAGGGAAAAUAAAACAAGAAAGAAAAACCCUAAAAAGUGACUCCAUAGUUUUGGAAAAAGCAUGUCUUUGAGAAACCCGAGUCUAAGUCCGGGGAUCAGGUUAUUUAUUGGGAAGGUACCUCUAGGAGGUAGCACCCCUCUAAGCCCUAAAAAGGUCUCUACUUACUAAGUUAAGGGAAGUGUGGCAAUUAAAUGGUUGAUCAUGGAUACCUAAGUAGACUAGGUGAUUUCAAAUAUUGCAUGCCUAAUAAGAAAACAAACCAUGAGAGAGAAUCGAAGUGCGUACCUGAACAACUUUUCAAGCGCUAUCACAAGACAUCAAAGUUAGUAUAGAGAUAUAGCACGCAACAUGCAUUUUAUCCAAGCAAGUCAAACAUACAUCUAAGCACCCAAGGAUUAAAUCAAAGCAUGGAUAUAGCUCAUGAUAGCAUGCAUUUUCAUAGAAUUUUGGAAUUAGAGGAUAGAGAACGUACCUGGAUAGCAAGUAUAUUUUAUAAGAUUCCUCGAAAAAUGCUAGAUUGGUUAGGGCAAGCAUAGAUUAUAUGAAAUAUCCAUUAUGUCUAAUAUACAGUUUCAAAGCCAAAAUUGAGCUAAGACAAAUUAAAUGACUCCAAAAAUAAUAACAAUUUCAAGUAAGGUAUAAAACCAUCAGCAUGCGGUUAGAAAAUGAAGCAUCGUAAAACAAUUUCUAAAAAAAAUGGCCUAGAGUGGAAUUUGAUUACAAAAAAUUUCAGGAAACAACUCCUACACACCUAGAUUAACAUACCGAAAGCCAAACACUCAUUCAAAAGACAGAUUAUCGCAAAGGCACCUAAAGGUUCUACAAAGUCCAGAUUAGAUAAGGAAAAGUGACGUGCAUAAAUGAAUUUUUAAAAAAUAAUAAAUGAUCCUAUAAAAUCAUAAACAAAAUCACACACAUAUUUCAAAAUUUCUAUAUCACAUAAAAAAUAAAUUCGGGGUCGAAUAGUACUCAAAAAUAUUUUUAAAACUAUAAAUCUAAUCAGAUGUACAAACUCCAGCAUGCGCAGUAGGCACAACUUUGAAAAAUCAUAUCUCCCUCAAAAAUGCAUAUUUUCUAAUAUUUUAUGUGUCUAAAAUCAAUUUCAAGAAGCUUAUAAUUGAGAAAAAAUAUUGAAUCAAUUUUAAAAAGUCCUCUAGUAUUUUAUUUUUUCCAAAAUAUCUUGGGUGUCCAGAACUAUGUGAAAACGGAGUCCCCCUAAAGACUCAUUUAUAUCUUCUAUCUCAGAAUGACUUUCUAACUAAAAAAAAACCUCAAAUUCAAGUUCAAGAAGUGAGGAAAGUCAUAAAAUUUCUGGAAAUUUUUUACAGAUAUCCUAAAGUUGUCAAAAUGAAUUUUUGAAGUUGAAGGGUCAGUGGUUUGAUGAAAACUGGCAGCAAAGAUUAAAUUAUUUAAUACCUAAGAUGGGUAGUUCUUUUCUUUUUAACAAACCGAUUUUAGAUCAAGAAAUCUCAGUAGGAAGGGGUCUCAACAGGUAUACUGAUGUUAUAGCUGCACCUGAGAUGACAAAGUCUUGUGUAUUUUGUAGGAAGAUAAUCAUAAACAGGGUGCACAAUGGGGAAUUCACGUCAGAAUGGUGGCUACUCCCUUACGUGCUGAAGCUGAUGUACAAUAUAAUUUCCCCACUAGCUACCACCAUCCCUACAUAUCUAUCACUAUCAUCCAGCCCUGAUCCCAAAGGACCCACCAUUUGAAGUCUCAUUUUUAAAAAAAACAUAAAUUUUAUGCUGCAAUCUGGACCUAAUUCCACUACCCUUUUGACCACUGAAGUUGUGCAAUGUACGAAUGUUUUGUCCACCAAUCUGCUGCUCUCUCUUUUAAGUGUACACCACUCUUAUAAAUCUCAUGCACAACUUCCUCUUUGAGUGUAUACACCCUCUCUCUCAAGCACAAAUUAGAACACGAAACCAAUUAUAGAACAAAGUGAUAAUAACACUGAGUAAGGAGUUCUCAACAAACAUACCGAGGAGCGCUCUCUUCUGGCAAGGAGAUCCCACUGGUUUGUCGUCUGAGAUUUCUUCAACCGCCCUCUCCUUCUUCUCCACCGACAGCUUCUCACUUGAAAGUCUUCUCUGAAAAUCCAAUUUUUCCGCCUCUCUUUCUCUCUGUUUUUUUUUUCUAUGUGCCGAAAGUCUCACCAAAACCUAUCUGUUAGAGCUUUUUUAUAGCAAAUAACAGUCCUUCUACGUGAGGAGUCUUCCUCUCUCCAAAUUUUAUCUUAUGCACCGGAAAAACUCUUUUUUUUUUUAAUUUCAAACAAUACCAAUCCACGCAUAUCACCUACAAUCCAUGCAUAUCAUUUAAAGAGUUUUACCGUUUUCAAAAACUUCUCCAAUGGUAGACUUCUUCCAUAAAAAUUUCAAAUUAUUAAAUUAAAUAAAUAAAUAAAUAAUAAAAUAGAUAAUAAAUAAUAAAAUAAAUAAAUAACUAAAUAAAUAAAUCGGAGAAUAUAAAAUGAUAAUAAUAGAUAAAUGAAUAAAUAACAAGAUAAUAAACAAAUAAGUAAGAAUACUAAAUAACUAAAUAACUAAAAAUGAUUGAUAAUAAUGAAAAUAAAUUAAAAUAAAUGAAUAAAUAAAACCAUAAUAAAUGAUCAAAUAAAAGUGGUUAGUAAUAAUAAAAAAUAAAAAUAAAUAAAUAAGUAAAUGAGAUAAAUGGGUCAUACAACCAUACAAGUCAUACUAAAAAAAAAGACUAAUGGGCCAAGGUGAGACUAAGUGGGCCAAGGUGAGACUAAGUGGGCCAAGGUGGACCUAAUGGGCCUAAGUGCCUAAGUGGAUCUAGGGUGCCUAAAUGGGCCUAAGUGCCUAAGCGGGCUUAGGGUGCCUAAAUGAGCUACCCUAAAAGCUAUCCUAAAAAUGAACGAAAAACCUAAGUCUAAAAUAGGGCUGCCAAGGGUCACAAUAAUGGGUCAGAUAAUCUCUCGACCAAAAUCUUCGAGGUGACUCAGAAAAAGGUAAGUGGUAUGAGUAGCCAUGGGCCACCAAGGAACUAUUUUGAAGUACUGAAAACGAACUUAAAGACAUGUGCUAAAGGGACAAAAUUGAGGGUCUACAGUAAAACUCAAGCAAAUUGAGGGUUAGGGUUUUUAUAUUAGGGUUUAAAUUUUUAUGUUAUGCUUCCGAUUUAGGGUUAAGGUUUCGUUUUCAUGUUUAAGAAAAUUGAGGAAAUUUUAAGGGUAAAUUUGGGGAAUUUAUGGGAUAAAUAAAACUUAAUCCAAUUGAGGGUUAGGGUUUUUAUGUUAGGGUUUUAAUUUUUUUGUUAUGCUUCUAGUUUAGAAUUAAGGUUUUGUUUUCAUGUUUCAGAAAACAGGGGGUAUAUUUGGGCAAAAUUUAGGGCAAUUUUUUAGGAAAACUUAGGGAAACUAAAUCUGGUGCUUAGUUGCAGUUUGUUAGGACAAUUUUAAUUUUUUUCCUUGUAAUUAAUGUUGCAUUAUUGAUUUACCUAAUAUGAACAUAGCUGAAAUUUAUUAUGUGUCUGCAGAUCGACCAUCUCAAUAUUUUACCAUAAAAUUGCAUUAUGGAGAGAGGUUUAGGGGUAGUAAGGAAGGUGUACCAAGAUUAGUGAUUAUGUGGGUGACAAACUAGAUUGUAUUGAUAAUUGUGACUCAGAUUUAAUGUCAUUGAUUAAGUUGGAUGAUAUAAUGAAACAUUUAGGAUAUAAAGAUUGCUUGGGAUAUUACUAUGCUAAUAAGAAUGGAGAAUUAGUUAUGGUGCUUAACAGAUAAAAUUGUGUUAGAGAUGUGUAGUUCAUUGUCAAAGGAUGGGGAAGUAGAUGUAUUUUUCAAGUACCCAGAGGUUUUACAUCUGUCUGAAGCUGAGAUUGAGUCUUCAAAUGCAUGCAGUUAGCCUACUAAAAAUGUGUGUGAAGGUGAAGACUCUAGGAUCAAUGUUGCAACAACACCCAAUGUAGAUGAAGUUGUUGAUAAAGCUGAAGAUUCAUCUAAAUAGAGUGAGUUUGUUGAUGAUGAGUAUUCUAUUAGUGAUGAUGAUGACUUGUAUGAUAAUUAUGUUGAUGCUAAUGAAGAGUGGGUUAGAGUAAAAAACAAUAAAGAAAAAGAUAAGGGAGUUGAGGAGGAAAACAUAAUAACAGUGAAUGAUGUGGAGGAUGAGGAAAACCUUUGUGAUGAUGACAUGAGGACUUUAGAUAAUGGUAAUGAAGAAGAAAUUAAUAGAGAUAAGUCUCAGUAUCCUCAAUUUGUAGCUAAUACAGACAUAAUCAAUCAUCAAUUUAGUGUGAGGUUACUUUUCACAAGUGCAACUGAGUUUAGAGUUGCGGUGAGGGAAUAGAAUAUGCCAUCAAAAAUGAAAGGAAUGUGAAGUUUGUUAAGAAUGAGAAGGACAAAGUAAGGGUAGUAUGCUCAGCUGGAUGUCCUUGGGUGGUUUAUGCAGCUCAAGUAAGGGAUGGGAAGACUUUUCGAGCGAGGACUUAUAAUGCAGAGCAUACUUGUGGCAGGGUAUUAAAAAAUGAUAAUCUAACCUUAAGGUACUUGUGUAAGAAGUAUGUUGACCAUUUUAGAAACAACCCUAAGUUAUCUAUUAGUGUAUUCAUGAAUACAAUGAGAAGUUCUCUUGUAUGUGAGUUAUCUCCUAAUCAAACUUAUAGAAUAAAGAAGAAGGCACCGAAACAAAUACAAAGUACUCAUGUUGAACAAUAUGUUAAACUUUCAUACUAUUGUGCUGAGAUCAAAAGAACAAAUUCGAGUUCAACAAUGAUUAUGAAAACAAAAAUGGUUCAUGACAAAGUCGUGUUUGAAAGGAUAUAUAAUAUAUAUAUUUCGAUGCAUGCAAGAAAUGGUUUUUAUCUGAGUGUACGGUUGUGGUUGGUCUUGAUGGGUGCCAUCUUAAAGGGCCACACUUUGGGAAACUAUUGAUUGUUAUUGGCAUUGACCUAAAUAAUUAGAUCUUUCCAAUAUGUUUUGUUGUUGUGGAGGUGGAGUUAAACGAUAGUUAGUCUUGGUUUCUAUAGUUACUGAUUGAAAACCUUUUUAUCAACAAUUUAGAGGCUUGGGCUUUCAUUAGUGAUAAACAAAAGGUAUAAAAUUAUGAACUUGUGUUUUCUAUUUAGCCCUAACUAUAUUUGAUGGUUUAAGUGUUUUUUUUUUCUUUUUAUUGUCUUUCCAUUUCAUUUCUAUUUAGGCCUAGCUAUAUUUGAUGAUUGAAUGUGAUUGUAUUAGAUUCAAAUUAAAUUGAGGCCUUAGGUUGAAGUCACCUAAAUUUAUUAGUUGUCUAUAGUUACUGUUGCAUGUGUCAUCCAUGCACUAGUAUUGGGCCACACCUGGGGUUUUAUUUGCAGCUACCUAUACCUGUGCCACCCACAUUUGGGUGUCUAGGGGACUUAUCUACAACUAUUGUUACUUAUGUCAUCCACAUGGAAUGGGGUGUCAUCUAUUUCCUUUGUUCUUCAAGGGUGCAUUAUGGUCCAACAAGAUAAAUAGAGCCAUAUUUUCUAACAACUUAGAUAUAACCAAAUAUUUUUUAUUUAGGCUUAACAAUAUUUGAUGGUUGAAUAUGAUUGUUUUAAAUGUAUUUUUUUUCUCUUACCUAUUUGUUUUCUAUUGGGUCUUCAAAUGUAUGCAUGGUUAAAUGUAUAACUUAAAUGUACAUUGUUAAUUCGCGUACGCAUGGCAGCAUGUUUUAAGUUUUAAGGUUUUUUUUUUGUGUUUUUCAUUUGUUUUCCAUUUUUUUUUAUUUGGCAGUGAUGUAAUUUUUGUGUGCAAGGGUUGGUGCUUGCUAUUGAGGAAUUGUUGCCCAACUUAGAGCAUAGACAUUGUUUGAGAUACUUAUACAACAAUUUCAAGCAAAAGUUCAAGGGACUAGCAUUGAAAGAUAAAGUUUGGAAAAUAGUCAUUGCUUCAAAUAUCCUUACUUUUAGUAAACAUAUGGAAUGGAUUCAAAGCCACUUUCUCUUCUCAGUUUGGGCUUUCAGAGCCACCAUAUCUUCUCAGUUUGGGCGUUCAGAGCCACCAUUCCUUCCCAGUUUGGCGUUCAAAGCCACCAUCUCUUCUUAGUUUCGGCGUUUAGAGCUAUCAUCAUUCUUAGUUUCGGCGUUCAGGGCCACCAUUUCUUCUCAGUUUGGGCUUUCAGAGCCACCACCUCUUUUCAGUUUCAGUGUUUAGAGCCAUCAUCAUUCUCAAUUUUGGUGUUCAGAGUCAUCAUUGCUUCUCAGUUUUGGCAUUCAGAUCCAUCAUCAUUCUUAGUUUCGACGUUCAAAACCAUCAUCAUUCUUAGUUUCGGCGUUCAGAGCCAUCAUCGCUUCUCAGUUUCGGCGUUCAGAGCCACCAUAUAUUCUCAGUUAAGGCUUUCAGAGCCACCAUUCCUUCCCAGUUUGGCAUUCAGAGCCACCAUCUCCUCUCAGUUUGACGUUCAAAGCCACCAUCUCCUUUUAGUUUAGCGUUCAAAGCCACUUUCUCUUCCCAGUUUGGGCGUUCAGAGCCAUCAUUCCUUCCGAGUUUGGCAUUUAGAGCCACCAUUCCUUCCCAGUUUGGCGUUCAAAGCCACCAUUUCCUCUCAGUUUGGGCAUUUGCUGCCACAUUUUCGGCGUUCAAAGUUACAUUCCUGGCAUUCAGAGUCAUCGUCCACAUCCAGACGUUUAGAGUCGUCGUUCACAUUCAGGCAUUCAGAGCCAUCAUCAUACACCUUCAGGUGUUCAGAGCCAUCGUUCACAAUCAGGCAUUCAGAGCCAUUAUCCAAUUUAGCAUUCGGUGCCACCAUCAUAUUUUCAAUUUGGCAUUCAGAGCCAUUAGUCAGCCUUGCAUUCAGAGCCACUAUUUUCCUCCAGUUCGGCGUUCAAAGCCACAUUCCUAGCAUUUAGGGUUGUCUUUCUCUUUUAGUUUGGUGUCCCGAGCCACGUUGCUAGCAUUUAUGGUUGCCAUUUUCUUUUAGUUUAGCAUUCAGAAUCAUUCUUACCAUUUGGAGUCACUUUCACCAGUCUUGGGCGUUCAGAGCCAUGUCUUCAGUUUGGCAUUUAGAGUCAUCACCUUCUUCAGUUUGGCAUUCAAAGUCAUGUCUUCGUUUUGGCAUUCAGAGCCAUCGUCCAACUUGGCAUUCGGUACUACCAUAUUCCUUUAGUUUUGGCGCUCAAAGUUGUCGUGCAUAUUCAUUCAGGCAUUUAGAGUCAUCAUCUUUCCUCCUUUUGGCGUUCAAAUUCAUUCCUUCUCAGCCUUGCCAUUCAGAGUCACGGCUCCUAACAUUCCUAUUCACUGGUAUUGCGCAUCUUACCUUCAUGGUUUUGCAUUCAUCCUUGGUCUUUCCUCACCUCGUUACCUUGUGCUUAUCGCUUAUUCAUCAUGCUCUUCUAGAUUUCCCUUUUCCCUGCACAUGACAUGGUCCAUUGAGUUCAUGGCACAUAUUUCGGUCAUGUUGUUAGGCACCUCACACUUAACAUUCUCAUGUAGUUCACAUAGGGCAAUCCCCUUUGGACGCAUUCUUUUCUAUACUCUAAGAUGGUUUGACCGUUACUCAUCUUUGACAUCGAUUUUUCGAGUCACGUUUAGAGACAUCUUAGAGCAAGUCUGGAUCCCUAGGGCAGCUUUAGAGGCGCCUUGAGAGAUGUUUUCCUCUUAGGAUCAGAGCCCUUUUGUUCGAUUUGAGCGAGUUUGUGUUCUACUUGUACCUUUCGGGGGUCUUUCUUUGUUCUUCGGUAGAGUUCACUUCAUUCCACUCACUUUUCACACUUUAAUUUCACACUUUAUUUUCACUCUAGUGUUCGUAUUCCUUGCACUCAUGAACUCUACCGAAGAAUGGCAUAUUUGUAGACCCUUCAGGUAGAAUGGGUUAUUUUCUAUUAUUUUUAUUAUUUUUUCUAGCCACUCUGAGAUGAGCCAUUCUUUGGCAGCCAAAGGAGCUUGCAGGUGACGGAAAAACAGUUGGUGGGCGAGUUGUUCUGGGCAUACGGAUGGGAUAAGAGGAAGAGAAGGCAGAGAGCUAGUUGGAGCUAUAGAGAGAACGACAGUUGAAGCAGGGGGCAGGUACUAGCAUUGCAUAAAAAGAAAGAUAUUUCUUUGGGCUGUGACAAGGGGGUAGAUAUAGCUUGGAAGGGAAGCGAGCAAGAAGGGGUUCGGAGAAGAAAAAAUUGGAGAGUCCUUAUAGAGUAAACGAGGAACAGGGGAAGGGGAUGGCAACUUGAUGGAAGCUAAGCAACUUUUGCUCGAGGAGAAUCGCUCAAGUUUAACUAUCUCACACCUUAGGUUCUCCAUUUUUAUAGUCAUACUAUGCUUUUUGUUGAUAUUUGGAUGUUUGUUUGAACUAUUUAAUGUGUUAAACUUGUUUAUCAUUUCUAUUUGCUUGGUCUUUGUUUCUCCUGUAUGAGUUGCAUGAUAGUUAUGUCAUCGUUCAUGCGUUAAGACCAUUCAAACUUUCUCACCAGCCUUUAAAACUCAUUGAUCUUCAUGAAAUGGAGCUGGAUUUAAUAGUAUUACUUUCUCUUGUACAUGCUUUGUCUUUCUUCAAUUUAUCCUCUGUUUUUGGUAUUUUUGGAAUGUUGAGUAUCGUGUUCAGUUUGGUCGUCUGGGUUGGGAUGCUCCUGAGAGAGCUCAACAUCAGAGCCUUUGGGAGACACUGUCCUAUUGUUUAUUAGGCGAGCUGAAGAUUUGACAAGCCAAGAGCAUUAAGGAGAUAUUAACAGUUUUGGUCCGGUGAUAAAUCUCGAGUUCACCGUGAUCGAUGGGUUAUUUGCACGAGGGCUUAACUGGUAUGGAUCAGGAAGUUGCUGUUAGAAAUUUACAUGCUAUAUUCGAUUCCAAUAUGCUUGCAACAUGAAUCAAAACCGAAAAGACUAAGAAUAGUCUACUUACCUCCAGCCAUUGUAGUUGGUUUCAAAAACCCAGAUUUCCAAACUCUGAUCUCUCCUUUUUUUAGAUGGUGUUUUUCUGAAGAUAAUAGCAGAGUGAGUUCGGGACCAUUUUUUUUUUAAAAACUUUAUAACAGUGGCUUCCAUCAAACCACGUUGCCUCUUGCCACCAUGUUGAGCAGUUGGUGGAACGUGCUCCUUAAUCGCAGCGGAAGUGAGAUGGUGGAGGACGUGGUCAAAGUGUUGGACCAUAUCAUGAAGUGAGAUGAACUCACACGUGUAUUCAGCUUACAUUCUCCCACUUGGUCCACACCUUUAACCUAAUGUCCUAAUUUAGUCCAUCAAUUGUCUCAAUAAGUAACAAAUACAUGAAUCAUGGCGAUAAGUCCUCUAUUUAACGAGUGUUACCUUCCAUGUAUUACAAUGUACUCAUUUCUUAACAUUAUACUUUAUGUGGCAAUAUUACUUAAUGAAUAAACCCUAUGUUCAUUCUUGGUCCAAUGAAGUUGAAUUUUCUCAAAAUUAAAUAAAAAGUGCGCAUCAAUAUGAGAAAACAUCAUAAUAAGAGUUUGUACAAUAGAAACUACAUAAGGGAACUAAGUCCCAUGUUCACUACAUGAUCCUUGAAUUUCAAUGGUGGCAUGCCCUUAGUCAAAGGAUCAGCGAUCAUCAAUUCAGUGCUAAUGUGCUCAAUAACCACUUUCUUUUCUUUAACACGUUCUCUUAUGGCUAAAUACUUAAUGUCGAUGUGUUUGCUUCGACUUCCACUUUUAUUGUUUUUCGCCAUAAAGACUGCAGCUGAAUUGUCGCAAUAUAUACUCAAUGGCCUAGAUAUUGAAUCCAUAACUCUAAGCCCGGAAAUGAAACUCUUAAGCCAUACACCAUGUGAAGUAGCCUCAAAACAAGAUAUGAACUCAGCUUCCAUAGUAGAAGUAGCAGUCAUGGUCUGCUUAACGCUCCUCCAAGAUAUAGCUCCACCGGCCAAUAUAAAAAUGUAUCCAGAUGUUGAUUUACGUGAAUCAACACAGCCAGCAAAGUCUGAAUCUGAGUAGCCAACUACCUCUAAAUUGCUUGUUCGUCUGUACAUAAGCUUGUAAUCUUUGGUUCCUUGAAGAUAUCUCAUCACUUUCUUUGCAGCUUUCCAGUGGUCUAUACCUGGGUUACUCUGAUAUCGUCCUAACAUUCCAACAGCAAAUGCAAUGUUAGGCCUUGUGCAGACCUGAGCAUACAUCAAACUUCCGACUGCAGAAGCAUAUGGAAUGUUCUUCAUUUGUUCCCUCUCAAGAUCGUUUUUCGGGCAUUGGUCCAGAUUGAACCUAUCACCUUUCACUAUAGGAGAAACACUAGGUGAACAAUUCUUCAUCCGAAAUCUCUCUAAAACUUUAUUGAUAUAGGUUUCUUGAGACAAACCUAAGAUACCUUUAAAUCUGUCUCUAUGGAUCUUAAUGCCAAUGACAUAAGAUGCCUCGCCCAUAUCCUUCAUGUCGAAAUUUUUAGAGAGGAAUUGUUUUACCUCAUGAAGUAAACCCUUAUCAUUGGUUGCAAGUAAGAUGUCAUCCACGUAUAAAACAAGAAAACAAACUUUACUUCCACUGACCUUAAGGUAUAUGCAUUGAUCCAUAACAUUUUCAACAAAACUGAAUGAAGAAAUUAUGUUAUGGAAUUUUAAAUACCAUUGGCGGGAUGCUUGCUUCAAACCGUAUAUGGAUUUCUUAAGCUUACAAACCAAUUGCUCACCAUCACUAGAGGGGAAUCCUUCAGGUUGUUUCAUGUAAACCUCCUCCUCUAGCUCUCCAUUAAGAAAUGUUGUUUUCACAUCCAUUUGUUGCAAUUCUAAAUCAAAGUGGGCUACUAAUGCCAAUAUAAUGCGCAAGGAAUCUUUCUUAGAUACAGGAGAAAAGGUUUCCGUGUAAUCGAUUCCUUCUUUCUGAGUGAACCCCUUUGCAACAAGUCUGGCCUUGUAUCUUUCAAUGUUGCCUAAUGAGUCUUUCUUUGUCUUAAAAACCCAUUUACAACCAAUGGUUUUUACACCAUUAGGCAACUCAACAAGGUCCCAAACAUCAUUGCACUUCAUGGAACUCAUCUCAUCCUUCAUGGCAUUGUACCACAAUUCUGAUUCUUUGCAACUCAUGGCUUGUGAAGAAGAUUCGGGAUCAUUUUCGGCUCCUAUAUUGUAGUCACAUUCCUGUAGAUACACUACAUAAUCAUUAGGAAUUGCUGACCUCUUAGUUCGAGUAGACCUUCUUAAGGUUGCACCAAUAUCUUCUAAGGAAGUAUGAGGUUCAACUUGUUGUCCAGAAGUAUCAGGAAACUCCUGAUCAAUUUGAUCUACUGGAAUGUUGUCAACAACUUGUGGAACUUCAACGACUGGUUGAACUUCAGUGAUUGUUCGUUCUACACCCGAUUGAACUUGAGGGGUGUUAUGAACAAUAAACAAUCUAUCACUUGAAGUGGAAGGUUGAGACUCUGUAUGAUCAAUAUCAGAAACUAUGUUUCUAAAUUGAUCGCUCCCACUGACCAAGUCAUAUUCAAGAAAUUUAGCAUUUCUCGAUUCCACAAUCCUAGUGCUGUGAGAUGGACAGUAAAAUCUGUACCCCUUAGACUUUUCAGCAUAUCCAAUGAAAUACCCACUAAUAGUCCUUGGGUCCAGUUUCUUCUCUUGUGGAUUAUAAAUUCUCACUUCAGACGAGCAUCCCCAAACGCGCAUAUGUCGCAAACUCGGUUUCCAACCUUUCAAUAACUCAAAUGGCGUCUUUGGGACAACCUUGGUUGGAACUCGGUUUAAUAUAUACACAGCUGUCUUAAGUGCUUCAGUCCAUAAGAAUUUAGGAAGUUUUGAGCUGCUAAGCAUACUCCUCACCAUGUCCAAUAAAGUUCGGUUUCUUCUUUCUGCUACACCAUUUUGGUCUGGAGAACCAGGCAUGGUGUAUUGGGCAACAAUCCCAUGCUGUUGAAGAAACUUCGCAAAUGGUCCAGGUGAUUGUCCAUCUUCCAAGUAUCUACCAUAAUAUUCUCCACCUCUAUCUGAUCUCACAAUCUUAAUUUGUUUACCAUAUUGUUUCUCUACUUCUGCCUUGAAGACUUUAAAGGCAUCUAAAGCUUCAUUUUUAUUAUGAAGUAUGUAGAGAUACAUGUAUCGUGAGAAAUCAUCUAUGAAAGAGAUGAAGUAUUUCUGACCAUGAGAGUCCAUGUCAAGACUACAUAUAUCAGUAUGUAUGAUCUCUAGUAUGGUGGAACUCCUAGUAGCACCUCUUUUUGACUGAUUGGUCUGCUUACCCUUAAUGCAGUCCACACAAGUCUCAAAGUCAGUAAAAUCUAGAGUACUAAGUACCCCAUCAUUCACCAAUCUUUUGAUUCUAUCUAUGGAGAUAUGACCUAAUCUCCGGUGCCACAAUGUAGAGGAAUCCUCUUUUACAACACAUCUCUUAAUGCCAGUUUGGACAUGCAAUGAAUUAUGAACAGUAUCAUUUUGUAAGAAUAUACAAUAAAGACCAUCAGACAAGAUACCAUUCCCAACACAUUCAGAUUUAUAAAUCAAACUGAAAGAUGUUUUUGAAAAAUGAAAGGAAUAUCCAAACGGUACAAGUCUAGAAACUGAAAUCAAGUUUCGUGAGAAACUUGGUACAUAAAAAGUCUUUUGCAAUUCUAAAACAAAACCACUAUUUAAAGUUAAAUAACAUGUCCCUAUUGCUUCCACAUGCGAGCCCAUCUUGUUUCCGGAUAAGAUGAAUUGCUCACUUGUUACUGGCUUCCUUAGGUUUUGCAUACCUUGCAAGGAAUUUGAAAUGUGGAUUGUAGAUCCAGAAUCAAUCCACCAUGUGUUGGUGUUUACAUUAACCAUAUUAGAUUCAUAGCAAACAAAUGAGGUAGGGUUACCUUUCUUCUCAAGCCAAUUCUGAAAUUUCAGACAUUUCUUCUUCACGUGUCCUUUCUUUUUACAGAAAAAACACUUUUCGUCUUUCUUAAUGUCAGAUUUAGGAGGAAUUUGUUGCUUUCCUUUCUGACUAGCUUGAGGUUUUCCUUUCUUUCCUUUCCUUUGCGUCACCAGCAUGGCACUUUCUCCAUGUUCCAUCAAUAACCUUCCUUCCUCUUGAACACACAUGGUCAUCAAUUCAUUGAUAGACCACUUAUCCUUAUGUGUGUUGUAAGAGAUUUUGAAAGGUCCAUACUGAGGUGGAAGAGUGUUAAGGAUAAAGUGCACCAAGAAGGAUUCAGACAUUUCUACCUCGAGUUUCUUCAAUUGAGCCACAAUGUCCCUUAUCUCCAUGAUAUGUUCAUGCACACCUCUUAUACCGGUGAGCUUUAGGGAUGUGAACUUCAUAAUUAGGGUGCUUGCUAAGGCUUUAUCUGAAGUGACGAAUUGCUCGUCAAUAGCCUUUAUCAAUUCACGGACAUUCUCAUGUUGCUCGAUUGAACCACGUAUACCAGCACUGAUUUUUGUCUUAAUGUACAUCACGCUAAGGCGAUUAGAUUUCUCCCAGCGUUCGUACAAUAGUAUUUCUUCAGGUGUGCUGGUAUCAGUGAUCUUAUGUGGUUCAUCUUUCCUUAUGGCAUAGUCUAUGUCCAUGCACCCUAAUUGAAGAAGAAUUCUCUCCUUCCAUAUCUUAAAGUUAUCUCCUCUAAGUUCGGGAACCUCACAACGAAUAUCAGAUAUGCUAGGUAAAACUGCACAAAAAGAUUACAAGCUUAUUAAAAAUUUGAGGCUUUAAUAUAAAUUCAUGCUUUACCAAUAUAGAACAUGCUUAAAAUUAAAUCUAAUUUUAUUAAAAAUUGCCUGUGGGCUAAAUCUUUAAUUCAAUAAGAUUCAUUAUCUUUAUGAUAGACUUUAUCAAACUAUUUUAUUAAAUCAUGAAAUUUAUUCUAAAUAUAGUUUGAUAUUUUCUGUCUAUAAUCUUUAUGAUAAACUUAUUAAAUUAAUUCUUCCUAACUCCUGUGGGUAAAUUAGAAAAAAUUAAUUUUAAUAUUUUAUCCUAAUUAAUUAUAUAAAUAUAAUGAAAAACCUGUGGGGUAAAACAUCAUAUUUAUAUAGUUAAUUACAAUUAAUGUCCAUAAUGCGAUCCUUAUUAAUAUAUAACUUUUUUUUAUAUAAUUAAGGAUGCUGUGGCUAUUCCUUAAUUAUUUAAAAAAUCAUAUAGUUUCACUAGACAUUAAAACUAUAUGAUAUAAUUUUAAUAUAUCUAACUAAAUUUUAGGCAACAAUUGCAUGUAUUAAAAACUACAACUUUAAUUUAGGCUACAAACAUAUAAAGCAGUAUAUAAUUAUUUAUUUUGCAUGUAUAAAAUUUACAUGAUAAUUUUAAAGGUAUGAAUGAGUGCCUAAAUACAAAUAAAACACAAUCAAUUCCAUGCCCAAUAUAGUUAAAAUAAAAAAUUCAAAUCGGGCCAAAAAGAGCAUAAAUUGGCCCAAUUUUUACAUUUAUACAUGGCCUAACAUUUAAUGUCUUUUAUCUUUUCAAAAUGGGCCACUGUCCAUGCUUUGAAUCCAAUGGGCCCAAUAGCCAGUUAUUUAAAAGCCCAUAACCUUAGUGGAGCCCCAUCUUAUUUUAUGAUUUCUCACUAUUUUAAUAUCACCUGCAACCCAAAACCCAAGAUCCUAUUUUUCUGCCACUUAGUGGACUGCUUCAACACCGGCAACGACGUUCUCGCCGCCACCCACGUGGACUGCACCCUUGCUAGAUGCAGUCCAAGCCAUGAAGCCGUAUGCAGUGCUUCAACACGGCGUGUGAACGACGACUUGCAGCCCAAAAAAAAAAAUGGCGUUUCCAAUGGCGCCUGAACGGCGCUGAGAUGGUGGCUAAGGUGCGCCUUAAAUGGAGCCUGAACGACGCCUAGUAACAGCGCUUGAACGGCGCUGGUUGUAGCCCCAAAAAAUGGCACUUCAACGCGCCUGAAUGGCGCCUGAAAAUUGGUGCUACAAUGGCGCAUGUUGCAGUCCAGAAAAUUGCAUUUCAACGCGCCUGAAAAUUGGCGCUGGUAUGGCGCUACAAUGGGGCUGGUUGCAGCCCCAAAAAUGGCAGCUGAACAGGGCCAGGUAUGGGGCCUGAAGCACAUCUAAAAUGGCACCUGAAACGGAGUCACUGGUGCGCCUGAAAAUGACGCCUUAAUAGCGCUGCUGGAGCGCCAGAAAAUGGCAUAUUUUGAACGCCUGUAAUGGCCUUUUUUAUAAAUGAAUGAUGCCAACUAUAUAUAUGGAUCUCCAGCAACAAUCGUUUAAAUAAUUAUCAAGAGAUCAUAAAACAAGAAUUUUUCACUCAGAAAUCAUACAAAGCAGAGGCAAGAUUUAUGGCUCUGAUACCAAAUGUUAGAAAUUUACAUGCUAUAUUCGAUUCCAAUAUGCUUGCAACAUGAAUCAAAACCGAAAAGACUAAGAAUAGUCUACUUACCUCCAGCCAUUGUAGUUGGUUUCAAAAACCCAGAUUUCCAAACUCUGAUCUCUCCUUUUUUUAGAUGGUGUUUUUCUGAAGAUAAUAGCAGAGUGAGUUCGGGACCUUUUUUUUUUGAAAAACUUUAUAACAGUGGCUUCCAUCAAACCAUGUUGCCUCUUGCCACCAUGUUGAGCAGUUGGUGGAACGUGCUCCUUAAUCGCAGCGGAAGUGAGAUGGUGGAGGACGUGGUCAAAGUGUUGGACCAUAUCAUGAAGUGAGAUGAACUCACACGUGUAUUCAGCUUACAGUUGCGUCAUAGCUAUUUAAAGCUAAGUGGAUUCAGAUUUGUGUUGUGAGUAGUUCAUUAUGUUAGGGAGUGUCAUAGUCAGCUCAUUUGGUGGUCAUAACAGGAACUCGGUAAUAUGAUGGGCACGAAAAUGCUCACACCGAUUACCCAGUUACUGAUCUGUUACAAAUGAUGGGCCAUGCCAUCGCCUUUUAUCAGAUAAUUUUGGGAAAUGUGUCAUCCUCUGUCACGCCCCUCGUAAAGAAUACUACAAGAAGUUCUUGUAUGAAGCAUUCCUAGUUGAAAGUCAUUUGUCGCACUACCUGCAUGAUAAUUUGAAUACUGAGGUAGUUGUUGGAGUUAUCAAGAACAUGCGAGAUGUUGUGGAUUAUCUCAUUUAUUUGUAGAGAAAAUCGACCAUGCUCUCGGCAUCAUCAAGUCCAAUGGCAUCCAGAAUGUGCUUGCCCUCCGCGGCAACCCCAUCGCAGCACCAAGAAAAAGAGAAAGCUAAACAGAGCCUGAAAGGGAGAUAGCGAGAGUGGAUAGUGCAAGAAGAGUAAGGGAAAAAGAAUGGAGGCGUGGAAGGUGUGGAGCGCUUUAUCGUAGCCGCCGAAGCGUCUCAUCCAUAUGGUUUCUUCUACCAGUCACCACGCCUCUUCCAGAUUCACCGUCUCAUAUUGUUCUCCUUCCACCACCACUACCACCACCGCCACCACCACUGCCGGCGGUAGGUCCAGGAUCGUCGGCUGGAAUCGGAGGUUAGCGUCUUCGUCUUCCUCAUCGUCUGGACCCACGACGUGUUGGAGUGUCGGUUAGACUACAAACUGUACAUAUGAUGGAGGAUAUCGGAGCUAUUCAAGUUGAGUUUGAUGGUCCUUUUCUUCUUUGAGUAAGCCGUCUUCCUGUUGCCACAAGUGUGGAAAAUACUUCCACAUCUUUGGUAUCCAAAACUAAAGGUGGUGAUAAAAUUAAAAUAAGGAAGAAUGUGUAGGUUUCUGAAAAUGGUCAACCAAUUUCCAAAGAAAGGCUUUUGGAUGGAGCCAAGGAAGUUGACAAUAUUCCAAAGAUUGGCGCUACUUCAGACAUUGUCCUUUCUCCUGCUCACACAAUUGAUGAAGACUUGGCUGUACCAAAGUCCUUGGAUAUCACAGUGGUAGAUGGAACUGAUACAUUGCCUUUGAUGGAAACUGAUUAACAUUCUCCAACUAUAAUCACUAACUUCACAACGCAAUGCUAGUUGCACCCAAGGCCCACGUGCAUGACCUUACUUUUAAAUGGCACCUUUGGCCAACCCCAAGUGCCACGCCUCUUUUACUUAUUUAUUUAUUUAUUCAUUUGUUUAUUUAUUUUUUACUACUUCUUCGUAUUUGGAUAUCCCAACUUAAUUCUUGAAAAUUCCGAUUUCCAAAUUUAAUUUCCAAUUUCCAAAAUUUCAAUUUUCACAUUUAUUUAUCUACUUAUUAUUAUUUUCGUUAAUAUUAUUUUAUUUAUUUAUUUAUUUUUAAAAUUCCAUCUUUAAGUAAUCCUUCAAAAUUCCGAUUUCCAAUUUUAAUUUCCAAUUUCCGGAAUUCCAAUUUCCACAUUUGUUUAUUUAAUCAUUAUUAUUUACGUUAUUAUUAUUAUUUUAUUUAUUUAUUUUUUAAAAUUCCAUCUUUAAAUAAUUCUUCAAAAUUCCAAUUUCCAAAUUCAAUUUCCAAUUUUCACAUUUAUUUAAUCAUUGUUAUUUUCAUUAUUAUUAUUAUUAUUAUUAUUAUUAUUAUUUUAUUUAUUUAUUUUUAAAAUUUCAUCUUUAAUUAAUUCAUCAAAAUUCCAAUUUCCAAAUUUAAUUUCCAAUUUUGCAAAAUUCCAAUUUUCACGUUUAUUUAUCUACUCAUUAUUAUUUUCGUUAUUAUUAUUAUUAUAUUUAUUUAUUUUUUAAAAUUUCAUCUUUAAGUAAUCCUUCAAAAUUCUGAUUUCCAAAUUUAAUUUCCAAUUUCCAGAAUUCUAAUUUCCACAUUUAUUUAAUUAAUCAUUAUUAUUUUCGUUAUUAUUAUUAUUUCAUUUAUUUAUUUUUAAAAUUCCAUCUUUAAAUAAUUCUUCAACAUUCCGAUUUCCAAAUUCAAUCUCUAAUUUCCAAAAUUUCAAUUUUCAAAUUUAUUUAUUUACUAAUUAUUAUUUUCGUUAUUAUUAUUAUUAUUAUUAUUAUUAUUAUUAUUAUUAUUAUUAUUAUUACUAUUAUUAUUAUUAUUAUUAUUUUUAAAUUUCAUCUUUAAAUAAUUCUUCAAAAUUCCGAUUUCCAAGUUCAAUUUCCAAUUUUCAAAAUUCCAAUUUUCACAUUUAUUUAUUUAAUCAUUAUUAUUUUUCUUUUCCGAUUUCCAAAUUCAAUUUCCAAUUUCCAAAAUUCCAAUUUUCAUAUUUAUUUAUUUAAUCAUCAUUAUUUUCGUUAUUAUCAUUGUUAUUUUAUUCAUUUAUUUAUCUAUUUAUUCGUCUAUUUUUUAAAUUCCAUCUUUAAAUAAUUCUUCAAAAUUCUAAUUUUCAAAUUUAAUUUCCAAUUUCAAAAAUUCCAAUUUGCACAUUUAUUUAUUUAAUCAUUAUUAUUUUCGUUAUUAUCAUUAUCCUAUUUAUUUAUUCAUUUAUUUUUUUAAAAAAAAUUCCAUCUUUAAAUAAUUUUCAAAAUUUUAAUUUCUUUCAAAAUUUAAUUUCCAACAUUCUAAUUCUUAAAUAUAAUUUUCAAAAUUCCAAUUGUCAAAUAAUUUUCAAAAUUCCAAUUCUUAUAUUUAAUUUUCAAAACCCCAAUUUUCGAAUAAUUUUAGAGACUUCAAUUUUCAAAUAAAUUUCAAAACUCCAGUUUUCUUUCAAAUAGUUUUAAUUCCACUCCAUUUUUUUUAAAUAUUUUUAAAAUUCACAAAUUUUCUUCGAUCUUCAAAUAAUCUUUCGUUUUCCUUGAUUUUUUUUAAUAAACAUGAAUGAAUCUUUCAUAAUUCCAAAAUAAUGGAAUUUGUGAUAUUAAUUCAUGUAAAAUAAAUUGGGUUUUGGUGGGGGCCCUACAUAUGAUCUCUUCUGAUUGUCAACUGUUAUAUUCAAUGAAUAUUGUUUGAUCUUUGUCUUACUCUUUGAUAUGCAUGUGAUAAUUUUAUACUCGAACUAACCUUGUUUCUAUGAUAGCGCACUAUUACUCGCUGCUAAGGUACGAUCUCACUCCCACUUUGUUUAUUCUUAUGCAUGAUUUGUUUUAUUAUUUUGAUCAUUUCAUUGAUAUCCAUUGAUUUCCUUAUCAAUUGUCGCACUUGCUUCACCUUAUUUAGUAGAGACCCGUUUUUAGGGACUUAGAUGGGUGUUACGGUCUUUAUCAUACCUUCCCAAUAAGUAACUUGACCCCCGAGCCUAGAUUUGGUUUUUCGCAGACCAUCUUUUCCAAAUAAGGAGUUACACUUAGAGUUUUCUUUUUUAUUUUAUUUUCCCUUUAAAAAUAAAACAAAAAUAAGUGACAGACUCCAAUUCAUUUUCUAAAAAUAAUUUUUUUCAAAUAAAAAACGAGUUUGCCAUCGAGUAAGAACACAUGAGCAGAAAUAUAGGAUCCACACUUCGCCAAUUAAUGUGUUGUCUCUUCUCUUUCCUUUUCAAAUCUUUGUUCCAUCUCUUAUAUUUGCUCUCGUAUUUGUACCGAUGGUGCAUCACUUGGUGGUCGUUGGCUAUUAGUUCAUGUUUGCACCAUGACCAACUCGAUACAUGUGAGGGCUUUGCACAUAUCGUUUCCCAAAAGUGACACCAAUUUUUGAACUAGGUGUCACGCUCCACCUUUGCUUCUUGUAAUUUUUGUAAUAAAAUUACAACUAAUGAAGGAAAUAUUUUUAAUUUUGUUUUUCCAAAAUAGAUUAAGAGAAAGGCGUAAGUUCCAAGCAACAACUUCUUUAGCAACAUGAAACCCAAAAGGAUGAUCAGAAAAACCCAAUAUUUGAAACGUGAUUUGAUUCUAGGAAUGACAUCUAUAUGAUUAGAGAACCAAUUUUGAUUUGGAAGGAUAAUUUUAGGGAUUUAUUUAUCAUUGCAUAGAAAGAGCUUUCAUAGGAUUCAUAAAUAAAGGUCAAACCGUGAAGCGUUUGUAUAGCUUUUAAACACUUCUCAAGAAUCUACUAGGACAUAUAUACCUCACUUGUUGAGUUCACGUGUAAGUUGUAACCACCACUCAAAUUAAGUAGCGAAUAAUCAGUUUCAUUUAGGUUAUUUAAUCUCUUUAUAAAUUAAAAAAAAAAAAACAAAUAAAUUUGAAUACCAUAAAAGUCAAUUAACUAAUUUCAAAUUUGAUGAUUGGCUUAAAAUAUACUUGAUGGUAACUUAAAGAGUUGUAAUUAUUAAUUUCAUUGAGGAAAUGGAUUAGUGUAAAUUUCUAAUUCUAAUGAUUGCCGUAUUCAAUUAUAAAGAUCCCACUUACAUAAAUACCCUCCAAAUAUAAUUCUAAUUUAAUGCUCAACCCUUUUUAACAUCAAGGUAACAUGUACAAGUUGGUUUUGGGGUUCAAGUUUCAACACCAUCCAAUUUUGCAAACCCUAUAAUUAUAACCCCGUCUGACCACAUCCAAAAGACUAACAACUCAGAGUCUUAACCCAAUUUUUCAUAACAAUAACUGAUUUGGAGAGAAGUGUAAAAAGGUAGAUUUACAAAAGACAAAAUUUUCAGAAUACCUGCAGACGAGUGUCAUAUUUACAUCCAGCAUUGGAACAAAUGCACUGCAGCAGAGGAUUGAUGAGAUGCUGGUGAUAAUUUUGAUAUCUAAUCCAAAAUUAAAACGAAAACUAAAACCCAAUGCGAACGCCAUUCCUCUACUUCUAGCUUCAACACAACACCGCAGGGGCAUAGCCUGCUACCCACCAUGCGCCCAUAACUUCCAGUUUUUGCCGAUAACAACCAAAAGUAGUUCAUUUACAAAUGACGAUAACAACACUUCCUUCCUAUACUAUUAACUUAAAAACAAGAACCCAAGACUUGAUAAAGACUUUGAAAUCAUACUACCAGCCAAAUUGGGCCCAAAAUAAGAUGAACUUAAAACUUCAGGGCUGGCUUUUCAGGCAAAAUAAAAAAGAAAAAAAAAAUUAACAGCUUCCUAGAACAGAGAGAUAAGUUAAAUACCAACAAGGGCGCUCCCCAUUGACUGAUCUCGAUGACUUCUCAAAGUCCAACUGCAAAUUUCAAAGGUAUUCACUUGCCUACAAAUGAACUAUAAUUUCAACCUCGGGAUGCAUAGGGGGUUCAACCAAGCAUAAGGACCAGCUUCUUACCUUGUAGGCCAAGAGAGAUUGCCUGGCAUAUUAGUAGCUAUGCAUGCAGAUCACCGAAGCUACAACCUCAUCCUAGCAUCAAAUUCUUGCCUUAUGAGAGCCAACCCUCCUACCAAAUGAUGGAGGUAUCUUUGCUACAUGCUACUUCACAAACACUACUAUCGUCAUCACGACAUACAGACAUGAGGAUCAAAGUCUUGAGUAGUGGGUGUUGGAAAAAGGGUAAUAAAUCACUUGGAAAUCUCAUUGAGUUGGAAACUGAUAUUGAUGGGGCCAAACACUCAAUUGGAGAUAUAAAGUAGACAUUCCAUUUUGAAAGUUUGUUAAAUGCUGCUCCUGUAAAAAUUGUUUGAACAGACCCAGGUUUAAGGAAUUUUUGCAAACUCAAGACAAUAAACACCUAUUAAAACCAUGUGCAUAUUUUGAGGAACAACUCCGCUCCACUCUUCAAAAAAGUUUUAUUACUUUGUAUACAAAUAAAAGUAUAAAAGACAGACACAGCUGCCAUGCCUUUUGCUCUACAUCAAAAAAAUACCCUGCAGUAACAAUUAUGGUUAGAAAUGUCGCAUAACAUGAGUUGACAGCAUAAACAAAUGUGGCAGCAAGCGACUUUACAAUUCUAUAUCUCAAAAGAGCAGUGAAAGAAUCAAGAAGCAACCAUAUUCAGUAUUAGAGAUGAUAAUAUAUGAAGAAAGCCAUGGUAGAUUAUUAACACACAUAUUAAGCAAAUCAAAUAUAAAUCAGUAAGAAAACCAUAGUCCACAUAGAAUCAAUCUAUCAUAAACAGAGAGUGUACCCAGCAAAUAAAUGCAUUAGUCAGAGCAAGGAACAGGAAUAUAAGAAAAACAUUGUUGAUUAAACCACUUAAAAUUCUGGCAAGAUAUAGUGUUCUCUGCCUGAAAACUCUUGCUGCUCCCCAUCGCAUUUGAAGAAACAAAAGAUCGGAACCAAAAUACUACAUUGUUUUGAAAACUUGCGAAGGGGGAAAAGUACUUAAAUGAAAAAAAAAUACAGGUUUAAGAUUCUGGUCUUUAUAGUAGGGGAAACAGUAACUUUUCGUCACAUAAAAGACGUCAUUUGCAAGAGUGCCUGGAACUUGAGAAGAAUCACCAGAGUCCAAAACUAAAAGAUUGAUGCAUCUAUGGAGGAAUCUGCACAAUGAAUAGGUAAAAAAUAUAAAAAUCUAAUUUCCAAAACAAAAAAUUUCGAGUAGAAAAGCAAAUAUAACAAGUAAAAGUGGAAAUGUCAUACCUUGGGUAAUUUAGGAGUAAGAAGUUUAAAAAGCAUAAUUAACUCGUUUUAUCAUGCUAUAAUGCAAGCAAGGGAAUGGUUUUGAAGAGAAUGACAUGAGUGUGGAAAUUUAAAAAAGGCCCACAAAUGAUAGAACUGCACUUUAAUAUGAACUCAAACACUAAUCAAAUUUGACCUGAUUGAACCAAACAUCAAGCAUAAAAUACUAGAACUUCAUCCAACAUAAAAAGGAACAAGUAGUGCAGCCAUGCAUAAGAUAAAUCAAAUAUGCUCACCAACUAGACAACCAUAAUCAGCCAUAGAGGUUUCAUCAGGAAGGCCACUAGAUUUAUACACCAAAGACAAGAUAUAAUCACUAAAAUACUUUUGCAAAUGUCUGACCCAUGUAAAAAUGUCUACUUCACAUACAAAUGAGCACAUAAAUCCAAGAGAUAAAUUUGAACCAUACCACCUUUGCACACUUUUUUAUCUGCAAGAUGACAAAAUGACAUCAAUUUGAGCACAUUGAUACUGAGUUUUCUUUAAUUAUAAAAUGAUCGUUCUAACACAUACUGGCAGCAAUAUCUAAAACAUUGAAAGUCAUUUAGUGAAGCCAUUUUCAUUUGAAAAAGAAAUCACAUAAAAUUCUAGAUUGUAAAAUUAGAAAUUUUGUUUCAAUUCCAUAUCUUCAGUACAAAUUUGGCAGCAAUUCCUAAAAUAAUAAUAAUCCAAAGAACUUAUAAUAUUACCACCAAAACUUCUACUCUCAAAGCCCUAGUAAGGGGGUAAAAUAAGACACAUUUAAAAACCUCCCCAAAUCUAACUUUUCCUAUGGUACAGCCUUGAAGAUCCAUCUUUUCGUUAAAAGGAACUACAAAUAAAAACAACUAAAAUCUCCACCAAACUAGUGACACAAAAAGGAGUGAGGCAUCUUUCACUAAUAAGCAACAACUGCCCUAUAUCCAUAAAUUGUUGCCAAUUCAUCUUUGCAAUACUUUAAGCUAUCUCUGAUUCAUAAAUUGUCAAUCUAAUAGAAGUUUUGUCCAAAUUGUCUAUGAAACUUCAUGUAACACCCUCAUACACAAAAAGGAAGCAAGAGUGCUUGAAACUAUAGGAUAGUCAUUCAAACAACCAUGAUAGAGGGGGACGCGUAAAUACAAUAACCCGAAGCUUCUAUAAUUUUCAUAAAGAAUAAGGAUCGCUUUCUCCCAAUGAAUAAAUCAGUCAGAAUAUGUUGUAAUAAUGUCAAAAAAUUCUUGAAUCAAAUCACUUAAAAUUCAAAAAGCAGAUUAUAUAAUUGUUUUUCAUGAUCAAAUCAUUAGAUCCAACUUACUCAAUUUUGCUAAGGAAGAAGAGUUUUCUGGUAACAGGUAAUCCUAUCAAAAAGCCUCUGGCUGACCAACAAGAAUGGUUUAUGCUUAUAUGAAUUAAUGGGCCAAAAAAUUAUAAAUUUAUAUGCUGAGAAAACAAGAAAUGCAUCAGUAACCAAGGAAUUCUGCCUUCAUGCUAUUAAUUAGCCAAAAUGAAUGACAAUAUUGCUAGAAUAUGCAAAAUGGUAAUAGGAACGAGGCAUACUAUCAGCAUUUGAGUUUGGUAAGAUCAGAAACAUGCUGACAACCAUUACUUAUUAGCGCUUAGAAAGGUAAAUUAACUACCAAGUGUUUAUGGGUAGUUUUCAAAGAGGAUGCGUCAUUCAUGCUCAAAGGCCUUUUUAUACAAGGCCCAGUUCAACACCUAAAGAAAAAUAAGCAGAUUUGUAAGGUAUAAACAGUUUCUUCACUCAACGGUGUAUUAAACAAAUCUAAGAAAUUUAAUUAGUUUAAUCAAAAUCAAUUAGCUCAAGUAAAAAUUAAUGAUGUCAAAGCAUAUAAAUUAUAUCUAAUAUGCCUGACACUCACCUAGUGACCCAUAUACGGUGCCCCACCCUGCUGAGGCCUGCCUCCACUGGCCUGCCCCAUUUGUGGGUUUUGGUACCCGCCCUGCAUUCCCGGCUGACUUCCGUAGCUGCCAGCACCCUGAUUUCCAUACCCACCCUGCAUUCCCUGCAUUCCAUGUGCCGCAGGCGGCAUAGCCUGGUUCACUGGUGCACCACCAAGACCUCCAAGCAGAUUGGUGAGCCCCAGUCCUGCCCCUUGUGAAGCAAGCAAUGCAGUCAAUGCUUGCCCAAGAGCCGGGUUCAAAGCUGGUGCAACACCUGGGUUCAAAGUCAUUGAUGGCCCUGAUGGUGCCAUCAGGUGCCCUGGGCCAGCGGCGUUGGCUGAGUAUUUUGAUUUGUCCUUCCUUGAAGGGUAAUGUGGUUGGUGUUGGUGGUGGUGAUGGUGGAAAGGCUUAUUUGGCUUCGGCCCAUCAAUUGCCUUCUGGCAAUGCAGUGUGUGACCCUCAAAAAUUUUGUGUGGCUCCUCCAAUGCCCUCCUCGAGCUCUCAAUCGACUUGUAAACGAACAAAGCGAAACCCUUGGGCUUCCCAGUCGACUUAUCUAAGCCUAAUGGACCCUCCUCGAUUUCCCCAAACUUCGCAAAGAACUCUAGUAGCUUCUGCGGAUCGAUCUCCGAAGAAACAUUGCUCACAAAAAUCUUUCUUUGAGUAUACUCAGACACCGGAGGUACCACCGGUGGCGGCGCUGGAACGGGGCCGGCAGAGGCUAGCUGGCACGAGGUCAUCCGAUUUCCAAUCUUCUUCUGCGGCUGCUUCAGCGCCUUGCGAGCGCCGCUCCGGUGCUUGAACAGAAUAAAGGCGUAUCCCUUGGAUUUUCCGGAGAUCUUGUCCGAUACGGCCUUGCAGUCUUCAAUCUCACCAUACUUGCCAAACACAGAGGUUAGGGUUUCUGCGGUCGUGUCCCAUCCCAGGCCGUGGACGAAGAUUUUUCGGUGAGCCGGGUCGGCGUCGGCGAGUCUUCGUACGCUAUCAACGAAGUCCGGGUACUUUUCCACUGCCUCCCGAAGCAAAGCCAGCAGCUGCUCUUUCGAGAAGGGCUCCAGAAGCUUCUCAAUCUCCUCAUCCUCCACAUCCCCUUCAUCCUCCUCAACCCCAUCGCCGUUCGCAUCCGCUGGCACCUCAUCCGCGACGGCUUCAUUCGACGCGUCCACAUCUCCUUCCUGGUCACCUUCUUCUUCCUCUUCCUCUUCCCCUUCCCCCUCCUCCUCCUCUUCUUC
rnacentral:lncRNA from 1 species